rnacentral:rRNA from 1 species
CCUACGGGCGGCAGCAGUGGGGAAUAUUGGACAAUGGGCGAAAGCCUGAUCCAGCCAUGCCGCGUGUGUGAAGAAGGCCUUCGGGUUGUAAAGCACUUUCAGUGGGGAAGAAAGCCUUGGGGCUAAUACCCUCGAGGAAGGACAUCACCCACAGAAGAAGCACCGGCUAACUCCGUGCCAGCAGCCGCGGUAAUACGGAGGGUGCGAGCGUUAAUCGGAAUUACUGGGCGUAAAGCGCGCGUAGGCGGUCUGAUAAGCCGGUUGUGAAAGCCCCGGGCUCAACCUGGGAACGGCAUCCGGAACUGUCAGGCUAGAGUGCAGGAGAGGAAGGUAGAAUUCCCGGUGUAGCGGUGAAAUGCGUAGAGAUCGGGAGGAAUACCAGUGGCGAAGGCGGCCUUCUGGACUGACACUGACGCUGAGGUGCGAAAGCGUGGGUAGCAAACAGGAUUAGAUACCCCAGUUGUC